GGAGUUAGCCGGUGCUUCUUCUGUGGGUGAUGUCGUCCCUGCCGGCUAUUAACCCGCAGGCCUUCUUCCCCACUGAAAGUGCUUUACAACCCGAAAGCCUUCUUCACACACGCGGCAUGGCUGGAUCAGGGUUGCCCCCAUUGUCCAAUAUUCCCCACUGCUGCCUCCCGUAGGAGUCUGGGCCGUGUCUCAGUCCCAGUGUGGCUGAUCAUCCUCUCAGACCAGCUACGGAUCGUCGCCUUGGUGAGCCGUUACCUCACCAACCAGCUAAUCCGACAUAGGCUCAUCCGAUAGCGCGAGGCCCGAAGGUCCCCCGCUUUCUCCCGUAGGACGUAUGCGGUAUUAGCCUGGGUUUCCCCAGGUUAUCCCCCACUACCGGGCAGAUUCCUAUGCAUUACUCACCCGUCCGCCGCUCGACGCCUCCUAGCAAGCUAGGAUCGUUUCCGCUCGACUUGCAUGUGUUAGGCCUGCCGCCAGCGUUCAAUCUGAGCCAGAAUCGAACCCUGA
rnacentral:rRNA from 1 species